CUUCGGCUUCGACGAAGAGCUCUCUCAAGAGCUGAGCUCUUUUCUCUCUCUCAGCUUCAAUGAAGCUUUGUUCUCUCAGAAUCUCUCAUCGCUUCAUCGUUUCAUUGUCUCUCUCGUUCAUCUCUCAUCGCUUCAUCGUUUUGUCGCUUAGUAACUCUGAAUAUGUUCAUUGGUUUUGCAUGAAAUAUUUAGAAGUUGGAUGAUUACACAGAUUCUUUCCCAUUCCAAGCCAAAAGUGAUUCCUCUGCUUCAAUCAUGUUCUUGAGCAGUUCAGCUUCUUUCCUAACUUUAUUGUGUUUCUCUCUCCGCAAUCACAAGUAUUUAUUGUACAAACUUAUAAAAAAUUGUUAUAUAUAAUUUACAAAUAAUUUACACUGGCA